GACGAACGCUGGCGGCGUGCCUAAUACAUGCAAGUAGAACGCUGAAGAGAGGAGCUUGCUCUUCUUGGAUGAGUUGCGAACGGGUGAGUAACGCGUAGGUAACCUGCCUUGUAGCGGGGGAUAACUAUUGGAAACGAUAGCUAAUACCGCAUAACAAUGGAUGACACAUGUCAUUUAUUUGAAAGGGGCAAUUGCUCCACUACAAGAUGGACCUGCGUUGUAUUAGCUAGUAGGUGAGGUAACGGCUCACCUAGGCGACGAUACAUAGCCGACCUGAGAGGGUGAUCGGCCACACUGGGACUGAGACACGGCCCAGACUCCUACGGGAGGCAGCAGUAGGGAAUCUUCGGCAAUGGGGGCAACCCUGACCGAGCAACGCCGCGUGAGUGAAGAAGGUUUUCGGAUCGUAAAGCUCUGUUGUAAGUCAAGAACGAGUGUGAGAGUGGAAAGUUCACACUGUGACGGUAGCUUACCAGAAAGGGACGGCUAACUACGUGCCAGCAGCCGCGGUAAUACGUAGGUCCCGAGCGUUGUCCGGAUUUAUUGGGCGUAAAGCGAGCGCAGGCGGUUUGAUAAGUCUGAAGUUAAAGGGCUGUGGCUCAACCAUAGUUCGCUUUGGAAACUGUCAAACUUGAGUGCAAAAGGGGAGAGUGGAAUUCCAUGUGUAGCGGUGAAAUGCGCAGAUAUAUGGAGGAACACCGGUGGCGAAAGCGGCUCUCUGGUCUGUAACUGACGCUGAGGCUCGAAAGCGUGGGGAGCGAACAGGAUUAGAUACCCUGGUAGUCCACGCCGUAAACGAUGAGUGCUAGGUGUUGGAUCCUUUCCGGGAUUCAGUGCCGCAGCUAACGCAUUAAGCACUCCGCCUGGGGAGUACGACCGCAAGGUUGAAACUCAAAGGAAUUGACGGGGGCCCGCACAAGCGGUGGAGCAUGUGGUUUAAUUCGAAGCAACGCGGAGAACCUUACCAGGUCUUGACAUCCCGAUGCUAUUUCUAGAGAUAGAAAGUUACUUCGGUACAUCGGUGACAGGUGGUGCAUGGUUGUCGUCAGCUCGUGUCGUGAGAUGUUGGGUUAAGUCCCGCAACGAGCGCAACCCCUAUUGUUAGUUGCCAUCAUUCAGUUGGGCACUCUAGCGAGACUGCCGGUAAUAAACCGGAGGAAGGUGGGGAUGACGUCAAAUCAUCAUGCCCCUUAUGACCUGGGCUACACACGUGCUACAAUGGUUGGUACAACGAGUUGCGAGUCGGUGACGGCAAGCUAAUCUCUUAAAGCCAAUCUCAGUUCGGAUUGUAGGCUGCAACUCGCCUACAUGAAGUCGGAAUCGCUAGUAAUCGCGGAUCAGCACGCCGCGGUGAAUACGUUCCCGGGCCU
rnacentral:rRNA from 1 species